GAGGUGAUGGUUCAGCGGUAGAAUUCUCACCUUUCACAUGGGAGACCUGGGUUUGACACCCAGCCAACACG
rnacentral:tRNA from 1 species